GUGUCUGGUGGGUAGUUUGACUGGGGCGGUCUCCUCCUAAAGAGUAACGGAGGAGCACGAAGGUUGGCUAAUCCUGGUCGGACAUCAGGAGGUUAGUGCAAUGGCAUAAGCCAGCUUGACUGCGAGCGUGACGGCGCGAGCAGGUGCGAAAGCAGGUCAUAGUGAUCCGGUGGUUCUGAAUGGAAGGGCCAUCGCUCAACGGAUAAAAGGUACUCCGGGGAUAACAGGCUGAUACCGCCCAAGAGUUCAUAUCGACGGCGGUGUUUGGCACCUCGAUGUCGGCUCAUCACAUCCUGGGGCUGAAGUAGGUCCCAAGGGUAUGGCUGUUCGCCAUUUAAAGUGGUACGCGAGCUGGGUUUAGAACGUCGUGAGACAGUUCGGUCCCUAUCUGCCGUGGGCGCUGGAGAACUGAGGGGGGCUGCUCCUAGUACGAGAGGACCGGAGUGGACGCAUCACUGGUGUUCGGGUUGUCAUGCCAAUGGCACUGCCCGGUAGCUAAAUGCGGAAGAGAUAAGUGCUGAAAGCAUCUAAGCACGAAACUUGCCCCGAGAUGAGUUCUCCCUGAGACUUAGAGUCUCCUGAAGGAACGUUGAAGACGACGACGUUGAUAGG
rnacentral:rRNA from 1 species